GACCCCUCCCCAAACCCUAGAGACGCCUUAGUUCCCCCAUCUCCCUUAUCUCUCUCAUCUCUCUAACCAGCCACCUUCAGCCGCCGCCGGAAAUCGCCUAUGGUGGCGGCACCACCCCAAACCUCCCCAAAUCUUCACUCCAUAACCACCAUCUUCCCCUCAACCCUAAUCCAUCACCAAUUUCCCCAAAAUCCCCACCAAUCUUCUUCAAUUUCAAAUAUAAGAAGGCCGGAAAACCCUAAUCCGCCUCCCUUUUGAUUUUCUCGGAUUUUUUGACUUGAUUGACAAAAAGUUUGUGCUAAUCGAUUGUUCUUCAACCCAAAACAAUAGAUUGACACUAAUUUUGGGUCACUUCGAAGUCGCUGGAAUCCGGUCGAUUUACCCAUAGCCGGUCAGAGCAUUCACGUGCCCGUUUCAGUGCCGGUUUAUGCUUUGUGAUUGUGAAUUAAAAAUCAGAUUGAGAAGGAAAGGUAUACUUGAACAAGUUAUAGAACAAGUGUCUCAUUGAGGGAAUUUGAAGAAAUGGAAUAGAAAUUUUGAGCUCUGCUUUGAUUAUUAGUGUAAAGCAAUUGGCUAUUAGUGUAGAAUGGUCAUGCUGUAUCGAAUAAGUCAUAGUUUAGUUUGAAUAUGUAAAUUGAAUUCCAAUGCAGUUUUGUAUUAUUUUCGGGUCAAGUUUCAUGGCAAUUGUAUUGUAAAUGUACUAUAUGGUAUUUGAUUUUGUGGGUUGUGUUA